GACGAACGCUGGCGGCGUGCUUAACACAUGCAAGUCGAACGGAAAGGCCUUUUCGGAGGUACUCGAGUGGCGAACGGGUGAGUAACACGUGGGUGAUCUGCCCUGCACUCUGGGAUAAGCCUGGGAAACUGGGUCUAAUACCGGAUAUGACCGCACUUUAGUGUGUGUGGUGGAAAGUUUUUUCGGUGAAGGAUGAGCCCGCGGCCUAUCAGCUUGUUGGUGGGGUAAUGGCCUACCAAGGCGGCGACGGGUAGCCGGACUGAGAGGUUGGUCGGCCACAUUGGGACUGAGAGACGGCCGAGACGCCGACGGGAGGAAGAAGGGGGGAAGAUUGAACAAGGGGCGCAAGCCUGAUGCAGAGGCGCCGCGGGGGGGAUGACGGCCUUCGGGUUGAAAACUACUUUCGCCAGGGACGAAGCGUUUUGUGACGGUACCUGGAGAAGAAGCACCGGCUAACUACGUG
rnacentral:rRNA from 1 species